GUAGACGUCUGCUUUCAUGAAAGAGUGAGAUAUACAAACUCCAAACAGACAGACACUGUAGGAUGAUGGUAGGGAACUAAGGGUAGGUUGAGAAAUAAGAGCUAACAUUGACUGUGUACUCACCAUGCCGGCCACUGCUCUUAGUGUUUGGUAUGUGUUAAUUCCUUUAAUCCUGCGGCAAACCUAUGAGUUAGGUGAUAUUAUGAUCUUCAUUUUACAGAUUAGUAAAUUCAGCCUUAAAAUGUUAAGUAACUUGUCCAGAGUCCCAGGACUAGUAGAGAAAUCAAGAAUUGAAUCCAGGAAAUCUAGCUUAGAGCCUUUGCUUUAUCAUCAUGAUAUAACCCCUCAUUGAUAAGAGUUCUGAACAAUAGAAAGGCAGUACGUUAUGCUCAGGUGUUUGUAUUCCCAUAGCCAGGAGACUCACUCAGUAGGACAAGAAUUUAAACUUUGAAAGAAAAUAAUAUUGUAAAAGGAAAUAGCUAUAUUUCCCUGAAGACCUAAAGUCUCAUUCAAUACUCAUUCAUUUAAUAAAUAUUUAUUGAAGGCAGGAUGCCCUGGAAGUAGAGAUAAAAGGCUUACUCUAGAAAGACAGAUAGAUAAGUAAGUAAAUGAUACGCUGAAGGGUACUGAAAACCUUUGAUGAGUUCAGGCAGGAUUGAUGUAACUACAUGUUUUGUUCUUUUUAAAGAUUGGCAACUGAACUAACAUCUGUUGCCAAUCUUUUUUUUUCUUCUUCUCCCCAAGCUCCCCAGUACAUAGUUGUAUAUUCUUGGUUGUAUGUCCCGCUGGUUGUGUUAUGUGGGAUGCCACCUCAGUAUGGCCUGAUGAGCAGUGCCAGGUCUGCGCCCAGGAUCCGAACCAGUGAAACCUUGGGCCACAAAGCAGAGCGCAUGAACUUAACCACUUGGUCAUGUGACUGGCCCAGUAAUUGCAUGUUAAUUUUGGAAAAGACACUUGGACAAUCUGAACUAUAGCUAGGAGACUGCAGGGAGACAGAUUUGGAGGUAACAUAGCAAUCACGUCAGACGUAGUGAGGGUUUAAAAUACAGUUGUCUGAAUUGGAUAGAAAAGAUAGAAAUUGGUGAUCAUAAUAGUUGGAGUUCCAUUAGGAAAGAGAUAGUACUCUGCAGCUGGGUAUUGUAAUAAGUUUGACAUAGGGACUAUUUACAGAGUGAGUAGGCGAGGCUUAAGAAAUGCAGUGGAGAUUGAGCAGUGCCCUGGGGCUGGUACAUCCGGAGGUAGGAGCUUUACCACCUCCAAGCCUGAUGGGCAGCACCCUCAUUCUCUUGCCUCUCUCUAAUCUCCUGCUGGUGCUCGCCGGAGGCCAAACCCAACUGGUGGCCAGAGGGCAAGGGAGCUCUAUUGUUUCAGUCAGUCUCCUCCGGCUUGUGUUUGGGAGGGUGGAGUGGAUCUGGAGGGGCAUCUGGGAAGUGUCUAGUUCAGUAACCAUUCACAUAUGGCAAUAAGAGGGAGGUGGAAUCUGCCAUGAGUUCUAGGCUUUUGGUGUGGGUCAUUAUUUCUAGGUCCUGCGACAGGGAAUACAGGAAGAUGUGCAGAGUAAGGAAGAACAUGAGGUGUUCUCUUUGGAAUGCAUCUUUGAAGUGCAUAUGACAAAUGCAUGUAAAACUUCUAGUAUGUAAUUAUUGUAUAUUCAACUAUGGAGAGAGUGAGAGAGAUAUAGAAAACUGGUAGUUACCAUGAGUUUACACAGGGGAGAGUUAAAACCAUGGUGGCAGAUGAGGUAAAUCGGGGAGGACAUGUAGAGCAAUGUGAAGAAGUGACUAAGGGCUGGAGGAGCUCCAGUCUUUAAAGAUGUGAUGAAAGCAAAGGCACCCAGAAGAAGCAGCGCUUCUGGAUGGGCUCCAAAUCUAUCUAAACCUGGCCACUUUCUAUGUGCCAAAAGUCUUAGGUUUGAAUUUACUCUAUAUGAACUCCCACAGUUCCAAGGGGGAAAUGCAGAGUGAUUGGAAUUUUAAGCUGAGAAGUUAAAGACCUGAGCUUGUCUACUGGACCUCAGAAUAGGACCUCAAACGAUCACUUUUCCUCCUAAAGCCUCCCGCAUCUUUCUGGAAUAGCGUUAUUUGACUAUAUCCUACCUCACAGGGUGUUUUUAAGGAUAAAUGAGAUAACGUCUGUAAAGCCCCUGGAGAGGAAGCCCCGAUGUAGAUAAGCACAUGCUCUGGUAUUUUUAGCUGAGAGUAUUGGGUGUUCAGGACGUGCCAUUUAGCAAUUCCUGGAGCCUUGAAAAGGAAAGAGAAAGGGGUGGGGAGACGGAAUCAGUGGCAUACGACAAAUGUUGUUUUUCAAGAAAUCCCUCCCACCCUGAGUGUAAGAAUCCACGUCAAAGGAAGCAAACACCAUGUGUAGAUAAAACAGGAAGGUGACAAGUUUGCUUGCUUGCAACCAAGACGGUGUGAUGCCAAAGGGCUAGUCCUGGCUGCUUGUUCACUCUAGGGGGUGGAGGUCCAAUUGCUGGUGACUCCGCUGAUAAUGAAACCAGGGUUAAGUGACUCUCUGUCCCGUACAGAAUAGCAGGAAACAUCUUCAUCACCCGUGACUCCUGGAAAGAGCAAUGGAGUUAAAGGGGGGUGCAUUUCCUGCCAAGAUUCCAGAAAGGGUGCUCACCCUCUAUGGAGCCAUGAGGACUAGCAUGCUGACCCAACACAAGCAAGGCUGCAGAGUGACCAUUGGGAUGGCCCGCCCUUCUCAGUCCAUAUCUGCUUCAUAAGCACAAAGUCUUUUAGAAAGCAAUAACAGGAACCUUGGACAGAUAACUUACUUGGUGAAAGGUCUUAGAAGAGUUCAUCCAAAUGCUUCAUCAUUGCUCUUUUUCUUCUUUGCCAUUCUGUAGUGAGAAUGUUUAUUCUUAAAUCCCAUAGUACAGACCUGUUUCCUUGUAUUUGAGAAGGCCAUAAAGUUUGCUACCUGUUAGGCCACAGGCUCUGAGUUAAACAUUUUCUAGACAUCAUGUCAUUUAACCCUCUCUGCAAAACUGUGAUUUCGGUAUUAUUGAUGCAUUUUUAUAGGAAGUAAGCUCAGGCAGAUAUCUAAGGUUGAAUAGCAAGGGUUAGAUCUGGGUUCAAAUUUUGUCUCUUUAUAUAAGCAGCAUGGUAUUUGGGAGAUAAUUUAACCUUUCCAAGCUCAAUUUCUUUGUCUAUAAAUUAUAGAACAUAAUUUACAUCAUAGUAUUAUUAUGAAAGUUAAAGGAGAUGGAGCAGACAUAAUUUGAAUGCAAUUUUGUAUUAUGUCUACAUUCUUUCCAUGACUACUCUGUUAAACUCAGAAACCAAAAAUGAUGCAGAAUAAAAUUUCGACGUUUUUCUCUAGCUGCUUUGCCCCAGUAUUCAAAUUUAUUUCAGAGUAAAAUUAAUGGGAGAAUGUAACUUUAUUUUGACCUUGGUCAUCUUGUUAGUUUUUGUUUUCUUAAAGCAGAAGAGGUAUGCCCUGGGUAGAUAUCUACGGAUAUAUCUAGACAUGCCUGUUUGAUAGUGUAAGAGUAUCCCUUGGUUUGUGAAACAAUGACAGACAGAACGUAUAUUGAGAGAUCUGAUGAUGAAACUCACGUCGCAUCCCCCAGGUCUCUCAGAUGAGUGGUUUAAUAUCAAGCCAGCAAUCACGGUGCAAGAUAAAGGACUGGGAGAUACACAAUUUCCUUCAAGAUGGGUCUCCAAGACCUUAUUGGAUUGGUGUGAUAUCCAGAAUACAAGCUCUCCAGCAGAAGCUGUUCCUUCCCAAACCUGGUGGGAAGUCCCUGAGCCACACUUAAAAGAGAUGCAGCAGCCAGAUCCCAGAGUCAACAAGGAACCAUCAGAUGAUCUCUCCUUGAAGAAAGAUGGAAGAACAUCACAGAUUCUUGGACUUGGAGGGAGAGGGCUGCUCUGUCAAGUAGUGGAUUCCUCCUAUUGAAGAACUUAUUGGAAGACCAAGAAGAGUUGCUUCUGAGGUAAAAAAAAAAAAAAAAAAAAGACUAAUGCAAAGAGUGAAAAAUGAAUUUUUUAUAUUUUACACUGACCACAACACAUGGUUGAGAAAAUUUGAAUAACUCUAGCUAAAUUUUGAAAGGUGCUUCAAAGCAUAUAAAGGGCUUUCACAUGUAUUUUCUCAUGUGAUUCCUGUAAACUUGGAAAAUAGUGGGUACUCCAUUUCAGAAAUGAGAAAAUGAAGGCCCAGAGAAGUGAAGCAGCAUGCACAGGCCACACAGUUCACAGGGGACUGGGCUGAGACCAAAACCUGACUGCAGGUUGCACACUUUUAACUCUCACCAACAACAGAGACAAAAGAGGGUUGGCCACCCAAGUAUUUAUCAUGAUGCAUUUUGGAACUCCAGGCUGAAAAACAAACAAACAAAAACCCCUACUAAAGAUUAAAACAUCUCUAAUUCAAACACCCAGAAAAUAUAGCAAUUAAUUUUUCCUUCGAGGAGGCAAAUACAGAUGGGCACCUGGCUGCUUUCACAUGGUGUUAACACUCACGUCUGACUGGCCUCAUGAUCUCCUGGAUCUUCCUAAGCCAAGGCGCUGGGGCGCUAUUUAAUCAGGUUGGAAGUCCCGGAAUUUAGCUAUUCUCCAUCUCUGUUCCUGCAGACUGCUGAUUUAAACAUGUGAAGCCACUGAUUAUCUAACAGUUAAGGAGAAGUGAAUCCAAGGUUCAAUGACACAGAGAUGAGAGGCCAGGACAACACCUGAGCCUAUGACUGGCAAUUAAUUAGACAGAUAGCAUCUUACAUUUGGAAAGGACCUUAUAGGCCUAAUCCAAUCUCCCUCCUGGUAUGGGAUUCCUUCCACAGCAAGCCUGACAAAUUUGCUCCCGGAAUAGGGAUUUUCACUUGUCUUGAGGCAACCAUUCUACUACUGUAAGAUGGGCUCUUGUUGUUAGAACGUUAAGUCUACCUUUCUGACCUAGUUCUGCCCUUUGGUGCCUUAACAAAUAUGGCUACCUGUGCAUUCCCAUGUUAUUUUCCCCAUAUUUGAAGUCAACUCUCUUAGCUUUCUUAAAAUCUCCUCUCUAGCAAAGCAUACGCAGCGCCUCCAACUCUCCAUACCCACUGAUCUUCAGGCCUCUCUCCAGAUGGUGUCUCGUUUGGACAUUGUUUUUUUCCUUUUUUAGUGAAAUGCCCAUCGCUGAAUUGGGUCUGUUUUUCCUGCUUAAGCUGACCCAAUGUUAACACAUUUUCAGUGCUUUUACUGGUCAUAAGCUCCACACUAGUGGGGCUAUAUAUAUGGUGGUUAGUGAUAAGAUCAGCUCCCUCGGCUCUGUAACCCACUGGAGUUUACCAAAUGAGAACUGGUUUGCUUCAUGUAAUUUACCUCAGAAGCCACAUCACCAGCAAGAGGACCAUUAAUUGUCAAUGUGCAGGCCACAACUAAUUUGUCACUUGGAACCAGUUUUUGCUUCAAUAAACUUUUUGUCUAUCUAGUAUUGCAUCUCUUAAAAUACAGAGAAAAAACAGGUAGGAGACUAGUUUACCAGCAACUUUGACAAAUGGCCCCUGAAGGAGACUAGUGACAUUUGGAAAGUUGGUGAAAGCUGCUAGAGUCAAAGCAACUUCUUAAAAAAAAAAAAAAAUUGUGGCUAUGCUCUGCUCAACCAGGCCACACCUGUUUUGAGAAACCACCAAGCGUUCUGCAGAUAAACAGAGAUGCCAGGCCUGACAGUCUCUAAGGCAACAAGAUACCGAUCAUCAUUGUACAUGUAAGAGAUGGAAAAAGACACUGGUGACAAACAUUAAGCCUGGUUUUUUCAUCUACCCAAUGGUGUAGCAGCAGUUGGAGUAAACCCUGCCUCAAAAGCUCAUCUCACAUCCAGUCUCCAGCCCCAAACUCUAAUUGUAGUGGAGGGCAGCCUGCAUUUGGAAAAAUACCUGAGAGAUCUGGACCCCACCCCUUAAGCAGUAAUCCUGUGGCCUAAUGUGGACUUCCAAAUGGGCUUCUGGGGAAAGAAGACAAUUUGUAGCCCCUGUGUUCCCACUCCUCACCUGCAAAGUGAAAUGAAAUGUUUACGUGGCUUGAAUUCAUGAGAGUGUACACUCGGGGAUAAGCCAGUGAACUUGGAUGACACAAAGAGAUAACUUAUCUAGCUUGGCUUCCUAGCGAAUGGCUUGGAUUUUAAUUAGGAAAUCACCAUCAAAAUGCAACCACUUUCCUGCUUUCAGGGAAUUUAGAUCUAUCAAAGAUGUAUAACAUCGCACUUUCCCAUUUGUUGUUAUCUCCAACUUGUGAUAUUUUAACAGGAAUAAAGCAAGUGAGCAUUUAGUAAGAAGAUGGAAGAGGUAUAGGAUGGAUCCAGGAGUUGGAGUGGGAGCUUGUCUACUGCUUGUGAAAUUAUUGCAUUGGGGUGACUUACGUCUGUGUUUUCUCGAUCCCUAGACUUUGAGCUGCUCUGUCUUGUUCAUUGGUGCAUUCCCACUCUUCCUGGUGUCAUGUUCUGUACCUUGUUGAUACUCAAAAACUAUUUAUUGAAUUGAAUCACUGUGUUGAUUUGAGGAGAUAUUGCUCAAAGACACUGUGGAUAAAGCAAAAUCUCAGCUCAGGACGUGGGAAAACAUACUGCAAAGAUGGACUAAUUAAUGACUUAAUGAACCUUGAAAAAACAAAAAAGAAUCAUAAAUGCCAAUGACAAGUAUUAGUUUAUGGAAGCCUAAUUAUAAAUAAUAACAGAAGAAAUAACUUAAAUGAUCCAGCUGGUCAGAUAGCAGCCAUCUUUAUUAAAAGGCCUGGUCAGGAUAAGAAAUGUUAAAUAGAAAUGAGUGUGUGGGGGUGGGGUGGGGUGGGGAGAAAUCUGUGGAAUUAAUUAUGGUGGUAAAUGUAAGCAGCUUUAUAUCAACACUAAGGAGUACAGUAGAGACAUC
rnacentral:lncRNA from 1 species